AACCGGUGUUUGAUGCUGCAGAAUGGUCA
rnacentral:scRNA from 1 species